rnacentral:lncRNA from 1 species
CCGUCAGGAACUCCGACCCUUAACUUCUUCCCACUUGUGGGUAUUUCCCAGCCUCUCGGAACAAUAGUAGAUUCACCAGGCCAAAUGAUGACCCCUAGUUGCUUAUUAUUAGUUUUAGCUGUUUUACCAUUCAUCUUGAGUUUAUGCGAAAUGCCAUCCUUCUCUGUCCAGAAUCCAACGAUUUUCUCUCCUUUCCCAAUUAUAUUCACAAUCUGAUAUGGGGACGGCUGCAGUUCUCUAUCAACGAUACGGAAAUCACCACUUAGUCCUGGUUUUAGCUCUGUGUUUUGCAUAGAGUCAAUGAGCAGAGAUCCCACUUCUGAGGUUCCAAGUGCAUCUAGGUCUGUUAAGUUCUCUCUAGUGUCUGGUUCUUAAUUUUGGGAUAGCAGUAGUGCCCACUUUCUCUACUGCUUCUGCUAAUAAGGUGAUGCUAUCAUAUGCCAUAGCCCGAAAACAUUGAGUUCUACUUGGUCCAUGUCUGGAUAUUCUUGACGAAAUCUCUUUCUCCAUCUCUUGGUGAACAUGUCAAGCGCAUUUGGAGUCCAGAAAACUCGUUAGCACAUCUGUGAUGAUCCAUGCAUAUCCACUGCUCAUCAUCCCAGCUUCUUUGGCCUUGAGGAAAAGGCGUGAGGCAAGAUAUGGUUGUAAGUGCACAAUGAACACUGUGGUUUGCUUUGUAUUCAAAUUGUGUAACUCCUUGAGGAUUUGAUCAUCACUGGCUGAAGGAGAAAUAGCACUUUUAUAGGGGACUAAAGUGUUGAUUUCCAGUAAGGCAUCAGUCAGAUGUGGAACUAUCCCAGUUCCAAUGGAGCUAUCCUCGUGGAUGAUUACAACCUUCGUCCAAUUAUAGUUUUUAACAAUUGCUGCAAUGGCUUUAGUCUGGCUGGAAGAAGGAAGUGCUCCUCUGAUGAAGAAGGGAUUUUCCUUGACUGUAAGUAAAGGACUUGUUGCUGGAGAAAUGAUAGGGACUUUUGUUCUGUUCCCUAUGUCAAUCACAAAAUCAGUUUGUGUAGACAUUUGUGGCCCAAAGAUAGCUUGUACUUGGACAUCCUUUAGCAAGUAUAUGGCUGCGUAUACACAAUCAGACUAUAAGAAAUCGUUCCAAAGUGAAAAACAGACGAAAAGAGAGAAUGAUAUGCUAGUUUAACAGAAGUAAAUCAUGGAUCAGAAUAUACCAGCGGAUGCUGCUUCAACAUCAUCUUUCUUUGAAUCCCUGAUAUGAGGAACUAUCCUUAUGGCACCGCGACUAGUGUUGGCAUGAUAAUCUGCAAGAGCUAGUAAGAUAGAUAUGUGCAUUACUUUUCCCACAUCUGUUUCCAGAUCAAGAAUUAUGCCCACAUCCACCUUUACAGCACUAGUGUUAUUAUCUUCACCUCUUAUUCCAAUUACAUAGUGGCAAAAGCUAAUGAUGGAAACAAGUUGAAUGAAAAUAAUUAGGAAUUUGCAUCUUGGAUUAUGCAUUUGAAAAACUCUUGUAGAAAGUAAUAUGAGUGUUGGGCAAGAAGCAGUUGUGCUUGUGCAAGAUUUAUAACCACCAUUCAGAGAUGUGUUUAAAGGUAUCUUAACUAUAACUUUUCUACAAUUAAAUGAGAGCAAACCUCAUAACUGCAGAAAGAAAAGUCAAAGUUUUCAAAGAAUUACAAAUGGUUUAAAAUAUACUAGUUUGAUUAUUAAAGAAAGAGUACUUUGCACACUUGUUAGACCACAAGCUAGUAAAGCCUCCUCAGUUUUGACCAAAUCAAUAAAUGACUAAAUGAACAUAGUGACAAAAUUGAUUUGUACUCAUUCUCCCAAUACCCAAAGAAGUUUUUGUAUUCAUUGGAUGACUAUCUAGAGGCUACUAAAAGGACUUCCCAUAUUUUGGCUAAGUCAUGUUGAAAGUUGAGUGCUAACUCAGUUACAAAUAAGUAGAAGAGGUCAGUUUCUAUGACUUGGACAUUGGAAAAGGGCAGCUAUGACUAGUAAUCUUUAGUUUACUUAGACGGUUUCAGUUUAGAAUUGGUCAGUAGUAUAAAACUUUAUGGUGGUAGAGGCACAACUUGUAGGGUUGUUCCGGGUUAUCGUUAAUUAAAAAAUCAAAUCAAACUUGUAGGGUUGUUUGGUUAGGUUUUAAAUUUUGAAAAUCAAUACUAUUUGGUUUGGUUUGGUUUUAAAACUGUAAAAAUAAUCAAAUUGAACGUGUAAUUAUAAUAAUUCUAGUAUUGCUUGAUUGAAUCCACAGUAACUUUCAUGUGUAUUGUUCAUGUACUAGGUGUCUGUGUUUAUAUAUAUGUCUUCAAAAAAAUUAUUACUUCCAAAACAAAAAAACAAAAAAAUUGAACCAAACCGACAAUUAUUUUUUUCAUUUGGUUUUAGAAUUUAGAAACCGACUAAAUUGAUCUGGCUUUGAUUUUAGCCAAUAAUCAAUCCAAAUUGAACCAUGAACACCUCUAGGCACAAAUAUAACUUGGUAUGUGAAGAAUUACUAUAAUACCUUUCCUUUAACUUUUUUUUUUUAAAAAAAAAUCUCCAUCCUCCAUUUUUUUCCCUUCACUUUUAAAAAAAAAAAAAAAAACCUCUAUUGGGAAAUUUUUCAAAUCAGUUUUUUUUACUCAUGAGCUCUAUUCCUUUCCCUUUUAUAUUUUUUAUAAUAUAAAAUAUAAGAUAAAAUAAAGAAUUUUUUUAAAAAGAAAUGAGAAAAAAAAUGAUGAAGAUGAGGGGUGAGGAGCUAAAGGAGAGAAGAAAGAUAGAACAUAAGAUGAGAAAGGUAGGGUCCCCAUAUUUUCUUUAUCAAAAAGUAACUUCUUACCUACCAAAGUCAUAUUUAUGCCUCUACCACCACAAAUUUUUUCGUAUUAACUUGCUUGCAAGUUGCAAAACCAAACAAAGCAAGCAUACCCAAAUGGAGAUGGAAUCUUGGAAUGAGGAUGGUUGGGUAUACAUGUAGGUGUCAAUGUCAUUGUCUCAAUAUAUAUAUAUAUAUAUACUCCCUCCGUCCCAAUUUAUGUGGCACCCUUUUUUUUUAGUCUGUUCCAAAAAACAAUGUCAUCUUACUAUAAUUAGAAACAAGGGAAAAGACUCAAAUAUGCUAUUGAAAUUUGAGAAAAGACUCAUUUAUGUCAUCCGUUAAAAGUUUGGUUCAUCUAUGUCAUUUUCGUUUGAGAAAAAACUCAUCCAUACCAUUAGUUGUUAACUAAAAAUAAUUUUGGUUUUGUAAGAUCAUUUUAUACACAUGGUCAAUUAUGAUUCGGCCAUGUCAUCAAUUAAAUCAUUUCUAUAGAAGAGAAAAUGUUCAAAUAUGUCAUCGAACUUUGAGAAAAGACUCAUUUAUGACAUCCGUUAAAAGUUUGUCUCAUCUAUGCUAUUUCAGUUAAUAAAUAAUGGCAUGAAUGAGGUUUUUCUCAAAUGAAAAUGGCAUAGAUGAGCCAAUUUUUUAACGAAUGACAUAUAUGACAUUUCUCAAAGUUCGAUGGCAUAUUUGAGUUUUUUCCCUAUAAACAAUUUCACUUAAAAUUUACUGUUAUCCUUAAUGAAAUUAUUUACAAACACACAAAUAUCUAAGGAUUGUUUUAGAUCACAAGUUUAAAAGUCUUUUUAAAAUAUAUAUAUAUAUAUAUAUAUAUAUUGUGUCAAGUUAAACAGUGCCACAUAAAAUGAGACAGAGAGAGUAAUUGUUAAUGUAAGAGGAAGCUGCUCGGGAAGUUACGUGUAUGAUGUUGAAGUUAUUUGACAUGCAGUUGAGGUGAUCCUAUAAUCUUCCAUUAUUUAUGACUAGUAAAAUCACUGAAUUUAUAAAAUAAUACUUAAAACAUAUGAGUCAUUAAAACUAAAACACUAUAUUAUCUUACAUAUAAGAUUACAUAUAACAAACAUUAAUAAUGUAAGUAAUUUCUUUUUUGCAUAUGUUAACAAAUUUUUGAAUUUCUUCCUGAGACAUAUAUCACAAUUGUAAAAUCUAUACAACUUAAAUGUGUUCUUGUUCUUACGAAACGCCUUUGUGUAUAUAUAUUCUUAUUUAUUCUCUCUUUUUUCCUUUUAAUUGAUGAUUAAAUAACCAUUAAUUUAUUAUUUCCUAAAUAAUUCAUUUAUUAGAUGUUCUUGAGUUAUGUGAUAAUGACAAAUAAUAGUAUAGAUCUUUAAGGAAUUUUUUUACUGUACCUUCAACAAUUUCAUGAUCAGUAGAGAAAACUUGCAUGAAUACUCAAUUAACAUGUGUUGUUUAAUCUGUACUAACAAAUACAAUUAACGUGUGUUGUUUAAUCUGUACUAACAAAUACUUAUAACAAUAACUUUGCAGAAACAUAAACACAAGUUUAAAACAUGUACUCAAAAACAAUAAUUAAUAACAUAAGCAUAAAUUAAUGACUGUAAAAAAAUAUACCAGGAUCUGUAAUAAUAGGAUGAAACAUAAAGGAAAAAAUUGUACACGAAUAUUUAAUUGUGCAGGUUAAGAAGAAGUUCAAAAUUUUCGUUUUUUUAAAAUGAGAGGAAAUCACUCUAUUUAUAGCUAGACAACAAAGGGUAGUGUGAGCAAAUGUUUAUUGUGUCUUAUCGGAAAGGUCACAACUCUUUGGAAAAGUUACAAACCCUUUGGAAAGGUCAUAACCUUUCAUAAAAGACACAACUUUUCAUAAAAGUCGCAACUCUACAUAGAAGUUACAACUUUUCAUAAAAGUCGCAACUGUUCAUAUAAGUCGCAAUUUUUCAUAAAAGUCACAACUUUUCAUUAAAGUCGCAAAUUUUUAUAAAAGGGGAAGGAUAGUUUUGUAAAUAUAUUAAUUAAAAAAGGAAUCCUGGUUUGUGAUGGCGCCACGUAGGCAGGCCUAGGGUUCUCUUUUAUAUAUAUACUAGUUUCUGAACACGUGCGUUGCACGUGUUUCAAACAAGUAGUAUACACGAUAAAAGUUAUAUUAAAACCAUAGUGUAAUCAAUAACGAAAAAAAGGUACAAACUAAAAUUGAUGAACGUAACACUCAUCCAAUUUGAAUGACUUAUUCGUUUAGCGAUAAAUAAUUAAUUACUAUCAGAACUACAAAAUUGAAUAAUUAUAUUUAGUUAGAUAAGUAAAAUGUAUAAAAUGAGUCACAUUUUAAUGUUAUUAGGUGCAAAUAUUUUAUUUAUAAAGAAGUAUUAGUAUUAAAUAUUUGCACCUAAUAACAUUAAGUAUUAAAUUUCAAGACAUAAUAUUUGAAUAAUGAAUUGUGAUGCUCAUACCAAAUAGCAAAACAAUGAAUCUAGAAAAUACUUUUAAAACAAAAAAACUUAGAUAUGAUAUUUAAAAUAUUUAAAACUUCUUGUUAAAAUUUACAAAAACGCAAAUAAUAUAUGCUUAUUAAGAAUUUAAAACUAAUUGUUAUAAUCUUAACAAUUGUGCAUGGAAACAAAAGCACCCAAAACAAAUGAAAUUCCAAUACAUGUGAAAUCAAAGUAUUGUAAUUCUAAGUAACUAAAUAUGCCAUGCAUACUUCUCAUCUCUUCUUUUAUGCAAACUAUUAGAAGGCAUAAAAAAACAAUGAAAAUCGAAGAUAAAAUAAUUUGCAUUCAAUCUUAAAAAGUUACAAAGAGGAGAUGGGGAAAAUUAGUAAAACUCAUUUAACCUUUAUAUAAUGUUUUUCCCAGUCCUUUGAAAUUUCAUUUCAUUUAUUUACUAAUGAAUUGAUUUACUAAUUAAUAUUCAAUUCAACUUUUCAACUUCUUUGUACUUACUGUAGCAAUGAAAGGUUGGCUAUUGGUUAACGUAACAAUUAAAUAAUUGAACCACCAAUGUUUCAUAUAAAGUUAUGGUUAUUAUAAGUAUUAAAUGCAAACAUUUUCUUUUUAUUGUAUGAAAUGCGUGUAUUUGUAUUUUUAUAUUAUAAACUUUUUGAAAUAAUAGUUGCUUGAAGGUUAAAAUGAUGUUUAACUUUUAAUAGGCGAUUUGGUAAUUCAAUUUUUCAUUUGGAAAGUUUCUACUUGAUAUAAUAUGAUAAUGAUCAAAAAUUUAAUAUAAAAUGAAUAAAGCAAAGAAUAAACAGGGAAAGAAAGAAAGAUGAUUGUCAUCAAUCCCUAUUAAAUCAUUGAAUUAAGUGUGAUAAUUAAAGUAUUAUUACUCCACUUUCAAAUCAUCCGUUCAAUUCAUGUUAUUGAAAACUAAUUUAAUUGAAGAUUUAUUUUAAUUAUGGUGUAAAUAAAAAUUAGUUUAUAAAAAAUGAUUUAGUAUAAGGGCAAAAUGGUAAAUCAACUUUGAAGACAAGAGCUUCCCACUUUUAAUAAUACUAGAAGAAAAAUGUGAAUUACAUGGAGAUUUUUUUCUUGGAAUUAGUAUCAAAAUUCGCAGAUAACUUAUUUCCUGCAAAUUUUCAUAUUAAUCCCCAGGAAAAUCCCCAUGUAAUUCACCAUUUUCUUGUAGUGUUGUACCAAAUUAUAAUAAAAUAACAGUAAAGAAAAUAGGUUGUACCCUGCUUCUUGCACUUAACUUUAUCCCACGAACAAUAGACAGAAAGGUGUCAUAUAAUCCUUACAUAUCACUAUCAAACCAAAUUCUCCCAACUGACAUAUUCUCCCACAACAAUAUUAUAUUCCCUCAAGUCCAAUUUUCAUCAGUGACUCCGUUUCUAAUGUUUUCCAAUUCACUUUUUCGACCUCCUUUUCACUAUUCAUUAUAUAAUAAUUGAUAUGAAACAACCCACAAUGUAAACAAGAUUUAAGAGACGUGAUUGAUUUACUUGAGUCGCUCACGUUCUUCUUUCGUUCACGCCGCUUUCUGUUAUUCUUCUUUUCCGUUCUUUCCCUUUUCUUCUACAGAUUAUUUUCACCCUAAUUAUUAUAUGACUAAUUAUAAGAGUGGUGGAAUUGGCUCACUACUAGUUUUAAUGCUAUCUUCUUUAACCACCAACUACAUUAAUUAUUAAAACUACCCCACUAAUUUCAUAAUGUAAUUACGAAUAGUCCAAAAUACCCAUUUAGAAUCUAUCGAACGAGUCUUUUAUGAAAUAAAAAGAUCUAGUACUCAAAACGACUAAAUGGGUCGUUACACAAUGUAACUCUUUAACUUUCAAAAUGAUAGGAGGUGAAAAGGUGAAAACAUUUUCUUUUUCAAUGAAUACAUUCAUUAUACUAAUAAUUCACCAUUUAAUAAACUUCUACCUAAAAAUGUUUUUUAGCAUAAAACAUGUAGGAAGUAAUUUUAAACAGUAAAAGGUAAAGGGUUAAUUAGUUUCUCAUUUAAUUAAUUCGAUUCAUUUAUUAGUAUAGGUAAAUUUAUUAUUUAGUACCAAGUAGUAUAAGAAUAGUAUUAAGAUGAAGGGUAAAAAUGUAAUUUGAUUUUUUAGGAAUAUUUUGUAAUUCAAUUUUAUAAGUUUUGGGGCUUCCCACUUAAUAAUUAUUAUUUAUAAUAAUAAAAAAAAUUUGACUUAACACCUUUCCAUUAUUAUUAUAGAUUAUAGAUGAUAAAUAUUAAUAAAUUAGAUAUUUAAUUAGGAAUUAAUCUUAGGAAGUCUAAAAGUCAUUUAACAUUUUUAAUUUAAAACUUAUACAAUCAAAUAUUUAAAUAUUUUAUAACAAUUUAAUUAAUAGAAGGGGUAAAACUGUAAUUCAACUUUCAACUUUUUUUGUUCAUGCUUAUAGUAAUAUAUAUGAUAUGAUAUAUAUAUAUAUGAUUAUUUACUGUGGUCGUUUUCUGAUAUGAUCACAAUAAGAUAUAACCGUCUAUUAUCUUUUAAACUUGUUUUUCUUUUUAGUUUGCAAUAUAUUUUGGAUUGGUAACAUUAGUAGUAUUAAAUUGUUAACAGCACUAGUUUGCAAUAUUUUUGGUUUCUGCAAACAUUAUUAGCACAUAUUGAAAGAGAUAUAUAUGAUAUGGUUUCAUUGAAUUAUAUCCUCUACAUAAGCAGUGAAGACAAAACAAAGUACUAAUGUUAUUUAAAUUGUCUCUAAAAUUUUGAUGAUUUAAUAAACUUUGAGAUCUAAAGAACGACCAGAUUCCAAGAGAGAUUGAGAGUUCUGUUUAUGAAAAAAACAGCGGUCUAAAAGCAGCAACACCUGCUGUGGUUGGUGCACGUAUUUUGCAGCAGACAUUCAGCCAAUGGCAGGGCAUUGCUUCAAGAGUUUGGGUCCAUCCUAUAAUACACCUCUUUGACAUUGACACAAACUCAAGUUUUUGCAAUAUAAAAAUUCAUAACAGCAAAAGUCAUUCUCUCAAGGAAAUAUUUCUCGAUAAAUGAUAGAGUUAUCAUCGUUCUUAGGUGUUUUUAGGGCUUAUAUUUCUGUGCUUAUACUUGUAAGAUUUAUUCCUACGUUAUAAAGGAAUCAGAUCAUUUGAAGUUUUUUCUGAGUAUUCCGAGUUAUAGCUAGAGUUAGUUAUGUUGUAUUCUUGAAUUCAAGAUCAACUAUAGCUAGUUGAUUUAGUGGGUCAUAGAGUUAUUGCUUAGUUUUUGAGUAACAGAGUUGUUACUAUGAGGGGAAGGGAUUAAGAGUUUAAUUCCUAGGCUACAAGGGUUUGUAAUAUGAAGCUUUGCACUUUUGAUGAUAAUGGAGUUGGGUUAAAUCCUGUGAGACAGACCGUGGUUUUUCCUCCCUUGAACAAGGGGCAUUCCACGUAAAACUCUUGUAUUUGUUUUACUUUGUGUUAUUUAUUUUCCACAAUUUUUCUUUCAAGGGACUUGGUCCAUUGACCAUUAGUGGACGCAUACAUUCUAUGAGUAAUAAUAAGAUUGAAAAAGAAACCACUAAGAAAAAGUAAGGGUUAAAUCCAUCAAAUGGAAUCCUGGAGCCACCUCUUGAUGCUAAUAUUCUGGCCAAGAUCAGUAACAAAGAUAUAAUGUAAUCUGGUUUAACUAACCCUAAAGCUAGCUCAUCUCUGUGCAAUCUCAUAUAGGGCCCUAUUCAGGUGUGUCACAAUUAUGGUAGUAGCUAUAUGUGUCAUCUUUCUUCAAUUGUGUCUGUAAUGGUUUCAUGAACUGGAGUUCCAGGUUCUGUUGUAGAGAACCCUUCAGCAGCAGGGGAUACUCCUAGUCCGUCGGAAAUUCUGAUUUCUGGGAUUUGCGAAGGAAGGUCAGGCAAUAUCUCAGGAGAAGCUUCACUUGCUGCGAGCAGUGUAGGUGCAUUGCUUCCAUUGCUUUCAGAUGGCUCUUCUGACAUAGAAUUAGAGCUGUCUUUCUCUUCAUCAAAGACUUUUGCAAUUGCAGUAAGCUUUUGCCAUAUUGAAUCAUCAGUGGCUAAGAUUUCUCUAUUCUGAUAAAGGAGGAUGAGGAAGAAUAGGAGAAGAGCGGAGCCUGCUGAAACACCAGCUAUGAGGAAAAGUCCCUUAAAACUAUCUAACGUGAGGCUAUCAGAUGUUAUUGCCGUUUCAUCUUUCUGUGGACAAUCUGUUUCAUUCCCAAACCAUUUCUGUAUUAUGUUAUUCAUAAACUCUCCCUCCAUCACCUUCAAGACUGCUCUUGAGACGUCAGGUACCAAAGGAGAUCCUUUUGGAAAUGCCUGCAAUAAAAGAUUAGAUGAUUGAGUAAACAACAAAUCAUUCUAAAUAUAUAUGUUAACAGUGUCUGAAACAUCAGUGGAGUGUACAAUCUUACAAACCCAAAGCCGGCAGCCUUGUAUGUCUGGCCGACCAUAAUAUACUUCCUGCAGUACUUGUUGAGGAAGAGUCUGAGAUAAGGUAGUUCAUCAACAAUUGCACCUACACCUCCAAUUUUUUGCUUCCUCUUGAGAGUGCAUCAUUAUACUCUUCCAAUGUGCUAUAAUUUCUGAACUUGGAGCUGUCAAAUUUCAUGUGCUUUAUGAAGACGUCUUUGACAAAGGAACCUUCUUGGUACCCAACAUAUUCUCCAUUCUUGAUGAGAUCAUUGAGGUCUGUUAUAGUAGGUUGGAGCUGUUGCAGUGUCAACAUAGAUGUUAAGCUGGCUGUAUAACUUGAUGUCAGCACCAGAACCACAAAAACCCACACAAUCAGCAAAAAUCUUGUUAAGUUACUUGUUACCCUCUCUCCUGCAACAACCAGCCAUAUAUAUGAUUUGUUGAGACACAAGGAAAAAUCCUAUAUCUUUCGUAUAUAAUAAUAUGCUUUGAGUUAGUGUCUUACUAUGAGCAAAAACGAGAGUUGAGAAGGAAAACCAAAAUAUCAUCCCAACUUGGUUGCGUUUGGGUCCUCGGAACUCUUUGUUUACACGAUGUUCGAGUACCCAAACCACAAAACCAAUGAAAACGAAGAAUGCUCCAGUUGUUAUCCAAAGCUCGCUCUUUAGAGGUUUCAAGAAAAUCCAAGCAUCCCUCCUAUCAUCAUCCCUUACCGGCACAACUACAGAAAUACCUGACUCUAUAAAAGGUAAUGUGAAAUCCACAUACUCUGACCGGCUCGCUAAAAUGGUCACAUCACCUACAACUGCAUCAUAGUCCUGGCUCAAGCAAACAUUGAUUAUUCCAGUAUGUAUAGUUGAUUGUAAUAGCAGAAAAUAGAUAUCGAAGUCCCAAAAAGGGCCAUGUUAGUAAGAUAUAGAGCCAAAGAGGUUUAUUGGAACAGAGAUUAUAUAUUACCUGAGAGGUGAUCUUGUGAACAAGAUCAUCAUAGUCUGGAAGAGUGAGGGGAUCUUGUAUUGGAAAUGGAAUAAAUUCGUAAGGGAGAGCAUAUGGCAAAGAUAGGAUGACUUCUUUGAAGACAUCUGCACAGAAACCAGUUGCUGUUACUGCUUGUGUUUUUGAAUCUCUUUCCACUUUAAUGAGUUGCUCCAGCCCUCCUUUGAGAGGAACUCCAACCCUUAACUUCUUCCCACUUGUGGGCAUUUCCCAGCCUCUUGGAACAAUAGUUGAUUCACCAGGCCAAAAAAUGGCUCCUAGUUGCUUAUUAUUACACUUAACUGCUGUUUUACCAUUCAUCUUCAGUUUACACGAAAUGCCAUCCCUCUUCGUCCAAAAUCCAAUGUUUUUCUCUCCUUUCCCAAUUAUAUUCACAAUCUGAUAUGGGAUUGGCUGCAGUUCUCCAUUGAUGAUACGGAAAUCACCACUUAAUCCUUGUUUUAGCACUGUGUUUCGCAUAGAGUCAAUGAGCAGAGAUCCCACUGCUGACGUUCCAAGUGCAUCUAAGUCUGUUAAGUUCUCUCUGGUGUCUGGUUUCUUUAAUUUUGGGAUAGCAGUAGUGCCUACUUUAUCUACUGCUUCUGCUAAUGAGGUGAUGCUAUCGUAUGCCCAUAGCCCAAAAACAUUGAGUUCUAUUUGGUCCAUGUCUGGAUACUCUUGACGGAAUCUCUUUCUCCAUCUCUUUGUGUAGUUGUUAAGCUGAUUUGAUCUUGGAAUGUAAGGUUUUAUACCAAGAACACCUUGCAUUGAUGACUCGAUCACUGAAUGAUCUACCAAGUCCAGAAGACUCGUUAGCACAUCUGUGAUGAUCCAUGCAUAUCCACUGCUCAUCAUCCCUGCUUCUUUGGCCUUGAGAAAAAGGCGGGAGGCAAGAUAUGGACGCAAGUGCACGACGAACACCCUUGUUUGCUUUGUAUUCAUAUUGUAUAACUCCUUGAGAAUCUGAUCAUCAUUGGCUGACGGAGAAAUAACACUUCUAUAGGAGACUAAAGUGCUGAUUUCCAGUAAGGCAUCAGUCAAAUGUGGAACUAUCCCGAACCCAUAGGGGCUAUCCUCAUAGAUGACCACAACCUCCCUCCAAUCAAAGUUUUUAACAAGUGCUGCAAUGGCCUUAGUCUGGCUGGAAGAAGGAAGUGCUGCUCUGAUGAAGAAGGGAUUUUCCUUGACUGUAAGUAAAGGACUUGUUGCUGGAGAAAUGAUUGGGACUUUUACUCUGUUCCCUAAGUCGAUCACAAAAUCAGUUUGUGUAGACAUUUGUGGCCCAAAGAUAGCUUGUACUUGGACAUCCUUUAGCAAGUAUAUGGCUGCACAUACACAAUCAGACAAUAAGAAUUUACCCAAAGUAAGAGUUUAAUAGAAGUGAAUCAUGGAACUGAAUUUACCAGCAGAUGUUGCUUCAACAUCAUCUUUCUUGGAAUCCUUGAUAUGAGGAACUAUCCUUAUGGCACCGCGACUAGCGUUGGCAUGAUAAUCUUCAAGUGCUAGUAAGAUAGAUAUGUGCAUUACUUUUCCCACAUCUGUUUCCAGAUCAAGAAUUAUACCCACAUCCACCUUUACAGCACUAGUGUUAUUAUCUUCACCUCUUAUUCGAACCACAUAGUGGUAAAAGCUAAUGAUGGAGAUAAGUUGAAAUGAAAAGAAUUAGAAAAGUGGCAUCUUGGAUUAUGCAUUUGAAAAAACUCUGGUAGCAAGUAGUCUGAGAGAUGGGCAACAAGCAGUUGUGCUUGUGCAAGAUAACCACACAUUCAGAAUGACAAUUUUCCUAUAAUUAAUAAGACCAAACUCCAUAAAUGAAGAAAGAAAAGUCAAAGAACAAAUGGUUGAAAAUCAAGUAUUCGUUUGAUUAUUGAAAGUGAGGACUUUUCACAUAUGCUACAACCGCACAGCUAGUAAGCAUAUUACCCCUCAGGUUUGACUAAAUAAAAAUUUGACAAAAUUGAUUGGUACUCAUUCCCCAACACCCAAUUACUUUUUGUGUGUACUAUCUAGAGGAUAUAUUCAAGGGAACUUACAUGAAUUCAACUAAUUUAGGAGUUAAUUACUUAAAUACAUUGUAGUUUGCAAUAUUACGUAUUUUACUAGAUUUUGGUAUGUCCAGAUACAUUCAGAUACAUAUAUGUGAGGUUACUUAGGAUCAAAAUUAGGUGUAAUUUGCUCUAGAUGCAUUGUAUCUAAGUGACUUUGCAUGUAUCUGGGAUACAUAACAAAUCUCGCUCGCCUCUCUCCCAUCUCUCACUCUCCUAUGUAUCUGAUAUUCCAUAUACAUGUGAAUCACACCAGAUACAUACACAUAAAUGUAUCUUAUGUGUAUAUAGUGUGAUUCGCAUGUAUCUGGGAUACAUAACAAAUCCCGCUUGCCUCUUUCCUCAUCUCGUUCCCCUAUCUUCCUAUUUUUGUGUAUCUGAUGGCAAAAAUUCAUGUAGCCAAAUGUAUUUUCCUCAAUAUAUGAUAGGAAACUCUUAAUUAGUGAUAGUAUACGAAAUAUUUUAAAAGUAUAGAAUAUAAUAGUAUAUAUGAUAGUGAAGUAUGUCUAAUGAUAUAGUUUUUCUGUAUUGAAAGGACUUCCCAAAUUUUGGCUGAGGCAUAAAAAGUUGACAAAUUUAGCUCAGUUACAAAUUCCACAAUUAAACCAAUAAGUAGAAGAGACCAUUGUUUUCCAACUUGGACAAGGCUAGAUACGACUAGUAAUCUUUAGUUUACGCGUUUUCAGUUACUAGUCUUUGGACACGUGCGUUGCACGUAUAUCCCAUAUUAUAUGGUUGCAUAAUAUAUGUCUAUAGUUACAAAUAUAUGUAUAAAAAAAAAUUGAUUGUGAUAUAAAUUGGAAAACAUGUAUAAGAUAAGAAAUCAAAACAGAUACCCUCAAAUUUCAAACUAUAAGCAUAAUAAGAAUAUGUAUUUCUAAUGAGUUUAAUCAAUCAUACCUUGCAAUAAUCUCUGCAAUUCAUUGAGAAACUUUCAAUCCAUACAUCAACAUUCAAUCGUGUAUAUAUAAAGAAAACUUGAAAUGCAUAACAACAAUUAUAUCUAUAUUUUUUAAAACACUAUAAAGUCAUUUUUUCUUUUUGCAUUAUAAUAUGGAUUGCACACAAUUUCUAUUAAAAAAAAGAAAGACAAAAUUAGGAAAAAUCGUAUCAAUAAAUUGGAAUGAAAAAUGUAAAAUUGUAAUAAGAGGAAGAGAAGAAAAAUACAGUAGAAUAUAUUACCUAACCAUGAAUAAGGAAGUAUGUUGAGUAAAAGAAGAGUAAUGCAAAAGUGUGAACUGAUAUAUGGAGGAAAUUGACAAAUAUAAUAAUCUAUAUUGAAUAAUGAAAAACAACUCUUCAAUUUCUGCAAAAAUUUUAUAACUACGAGCUCAAAAUAAUAUAAAUUUAUUAAUUUAAUAAAUGACAUAAAUAAAUAAAUAACAUAUAUUGUGUGUAUGUGUAGUUAAUGGGGUAGUGAAAAAGACUCUUUCUGAAAUUAUUUUUAUCUCUUUAAAGUAAUUUUGAACUUUUGAUAUUAGUGCUAUAGAAAAUCAUAUAAAGUCAUAAGCCACUGCAAGUUUUUAUAGUAAUUAUCUUAUUAAAUUAUAUACCUAUUAUUAUUUUUAAUUAUUUAUAAUCAUUCCGAAAAUGUAUAAAUUAAUUUUGAAAAGCUUGUAAAAUGAGAAAUUAUUAUUUCUUAUCAUUAUUUUAGCUAUUAUUAACAUUUAGUAUGACAACAUUUUAAAAAAGCAGCUUCCUUUAAAUAUUAAUUGUUUCUAAAUUAACAUAGCCAAGAAUUUAAAAUGUUGUGACGUUUUGUUUAUCUAAACACGCAGAAUUUUGUUUUUGAACCUGGAACAUGUAAUUAAGCCUUGGGUGAAUUAUAAUUUUAUUUUUACUAUUUAAUUAAUUAAAUAAUUUGUAACAUUUUAAUAUAAUGAAGGGGUAAAAUGGUAACUCAACUUUAAAGGUUGGAGCUUCCCACUUUUAGUAAUAUAUGAUAAAUUGGUCAGUAGUAGUAACCUAGUUUAAUUUGAUAUAAUAACAUUCAUGACAAAAUAAAUUAAAUAUGGCUAAUUAAGAAAAUAUAAUUAAAUAUGAUUAUCUUUAAUGUUAUUUAAAUUUGUAGGCGAUUUUUUUUGUAUUUUAAAAUUAAAAAAAGGCCAAAAAACCCACAAAAAGAGAUAAAUAGGAUUGAAGCCCUUAGAGAGCGUCACCUCACCGUUUUCAUAUUCAACUUUAUUAUUAUAUAUGGAUUUAGAUUUUUGCACAACCUUAAAUUUAAGGACACAUUUAGAUAUUAUAUCAAACAUUCAUUUAUUUGAAGUUGAAAUUACAUUUUACAUGAAAAUUGGAUAUUCCAUAUUCACAUUGAGUAUGAAUCUUUUUGUUUUUUUUACAAAAUUCAAAAUAAAAAAAUACAAAACAUAAACUUAUAGAUCAAAUUUUACAUUUGACAUUUGAAAGUUUUACUUUUCAUUAAACGUUUUGUUAUAGAAUUUGGAAUCGCCCUUUGAAAUUAGUAUUUAUAAAUGAAAAUAUUGAUCUAGUCCUGUUGAAAUUGUGUCUGGCCUAGUACUUUUUCUUAUUAGAGUGAUUAUUGAAUUAGGUUUAAUAUCAAUUUUCUUAAUUAGUUUUGUCAAUUGGCAGUGCUAAGAAGAUGGGAAUUUACGUUAUAUUAAAUUAUCUUUACAUUAAUAAAAAAAGAAAUUGUUGUUAGUAUUAUUUGUAAUAUAAUUAAACAAAAAUAACAAUGGGAAGAAAAUAAUAAGUAAAGAUUACACGUUGUAUUAAAAUAAUAAGUAUUAAAAAUUAUGAUAAAUUUUAUAAUAGUCAUAACAGGAAUUUACGCAAUAAUUACUAUAUUAGAAUACUAGAAAAAUUGAUAAGUUCCUCGACAUCUAAUCAUUGAUUAAAAUUUAAAUUAUUAUUUUCUUCUGCGAAAGUUUAAGAGAUUAAAUUAAUGUUUUAAAAAAUAAUAUUAAUUAUUUUCAAUGAUUAAUAAGAAAAUGUAUAUAGCAAGUACAUGUAUUAUUAUUACAUUAUUUAUAUCCACUCUAUAUUAAAUCAUUUUUCUAUUAUAGUUUGACGCAAAUUUCAGAAUGUAAAGAAUGUUUUGGAUUCGAAAAAUAAAUAUUCAAAAUAUACUAACAUGUCAUUUAAUCUUAUGAUAUUUUACAUUUCAUGUGAAAAAAAAUUAAAUAUUAAUUUUUUAAUAUGAAAAAUAUUAAUUUAUUAAUACAACAUAAAAGUAAUAAAGGACAAUAUAUAAAAAUAUUUGAAGUAUUUGAUAUUUUAUUAAAUUAAAAUAAUUCUAAAUUAAUAUAUAGCCGCGCAACGCGCGGGUACGUAUACUAGUGAAGAACAAUAAUAAAGAAGAAGACAAUUGAGUUAAUAUUUAUUUUUUCCAAGUUUAAUUUAACACAUGACCAGUUUUUAUUGGUCAGUGCUGUCAAAAAGUUGCACCCACGCGCCUAAAAUAGGUGAAAUCACGGACUCAGCCACGUAGGCCAAAAAGUGGUAAACAAUUAACUAAAAAAUAAGUUCAGGGGGGUAAUAGGACUUUAGUAAAGGUUAGGUGUGUCUCAGGGAUUUUGGGCAUAGGCUGGGGGGGUACUUAUGCAUUUUCCCUUAUGUUAAAUAUACCAAAAUGUUUUUUAAUCUUAUGACUUUAAACAUGUCACGUGAAAAACUGAAAUUAAAGUGUUGCCAAAAAAAGAAGGGUCAUUUUUUUUAAACAGACUAAACAGAAAAGUAGAUCUUUUUAAAACGGAAGGGAAGUAAUUGUUAAUGCAAGAGGAAGCUGCUUGAAAAGUUACGUAUAUGAUGUUGAAGUUGUCUAACAUGCAAUGCUGGUCCUAUAAUCUUUCAUUAUUUAUUAUCCAUGACUAUGGGUGGAUAAUAAUAGUUAUCUGCUAUGAUCAUAUAUACCUAGGGGUGGACAUAUUACUUAGAAAACUUAUGUUAGGUAAUUUUGAUUUCUAAAAAUACUAUAUGGUGUAUGCUAUUUGCAGAUGAUAGUCCUAAUCGACCAGACUCGUAAUAGAGUUAAUGUUAAGCUAGAGAAGAUAAUAAUGGCUCCCUUCUCAAAUAUUUCAUUGGUAGAAAUUUGCCUUCCAGAAUUUCAUAAUUGCAUCUGAUCCUUUCUGAUAACUCAAAGGGCAUCUUAAAUUGGUGCGGAAGUUUAAUUUUGACAUGGAACGCAAAUAUAUGCGGAAAAUUAGUAAUUCAAUAAAUAUUUAAUUAUGAAUGCAUAUUACAAAAGUGCAAGGAAUUCAAUUGUAAGAUGUUGAAGGUUAAACCCAUAAAUUCUAAAUACUAGAGACGCCUCUUAAUGCAAAUAUAAUAUGGUUUAACUAUUUUAAACCUGGCUCAUCUCUCUUAAGUUGUCCCUGUAAUGUUUUCAUGAACUGGAGUUCCAGGUUCUGUUGUAGAGAACCCUUCAAGUGCAGGGGAUGCUCCUAAGCCGUCGGAAAUUCUGAUUUCUGGGCUUUGCAAAGGAAGGUGGGGCAAUAUUUCAGUAGAGGCUUCACUUUCUGCAAACAGCAUAGCUGUUUGGAUUUCAUUGCCUUCAGAUGGCUCUUCUGACAUAGAAUUAGAGUUGUCUCUCUCUUUAUCAAAGGCAUUUGCUAUUGCAGAAAGCUUUUGCCAUACUGAAUCAUCAGUGGCUAAGAUUUCUCUAUUCUGAUAAAGGAAGAUGAGGAAGAAUAGGAGAAGAGCGGAGCCCGCUGAUACACCAGCUAUGAGGAAAAGGCCCUUAAAACUAUCGAGCAUGAGGCUAGAUGCUAUAGCCAUUCCAUCUUGCUUUGGACAAUCUGUUUCAUUCCCAAACCAUUUCUGUAUUAUGUUAUUCAUAAACUCUCCUUCCAUCACCUGCAAGACUGCUCUUGAGACGUCAGGUACCAAAGGAGAUCCUUUUGGAAAUGCCUGCCAGAAGUUGGGGGAAAAUAAAAGAUUAAAUUAUUGAGUAGAACAUAAACCAUUCUAAACAAAUGUAAACACGUUCUGAAACAUCACUGGAGUGCAACAUUCUUACGAAUCCAAAGCCAGCAGCCUUGUAUGUCGGACCGACCAUAAUAUACUUCCUGCAAUACUUGUUGAGGAAGAGUCUGAGAUAAGGUAGUUCAUCAACAAUUGCACCAACACCUCCAUUUUUACUUCCUCUUGAGAGGGCAUUACUAUACUCUUCCAAUGUGCUAUAACUUAUGAACUUGGAACUGUCAAACUUCAUGUGCUUCAAGACAUCUUUGACAAAGGAACCUUCUUGGUACCCAACAUAUUCUCCAUUCUUGAUCAGAUCAUUGAGGUCAGUUAUAGAAGGUUGGAGCUGUUGCACUGUCAACAUAGAUGUUAAGUUGGCUGUAUAACUUGAUGUCAGCACCAGAACCACGAAAACCCACACAAUCAGCACAAAUCUUGUGAAGUUACUAGUAACCCUCUCUCCUGAAACAACCAGCCAUAUAUAUGAUUUGUUGAGAAACAAGGAUAAAUCCUAAAGCUUUUUGUAUAUAAUUUGCUUUGUGUUAGAGACUUACUAUGAGCAAAAACGAGAGUUGAGAAGGAAAACCAGAAUAUCAUCCCAACUUGCUUGUGUUUGGGUCCUCGAAACUCUUUGUUUACACGAUGUUCAAGUACCCAAACCACAAAACCAAUGAAGAUGAAGAAUCCUCCUGUUGUUAUCCAAAGCUCGCUCUUUAGAGGUUUCAAGAAAAUCCAAGCAUUCUUUCUAUCAUCAUUCUUUACCGACACAACAGCAGAAAUACCGGACUCUGAAAAAGGUAAUGUGAAAUCCACAUACUUGGCUCGGCUCGCUAAAAUGGUCACAUCACCUACAACUGCAUCAUAUUCCUGGUUCAAGCAAACAACGAUUAUUUUAGUAUAUAUGGUUGAUCUCAGUCAAAGAAGAAAGUAGAUAUGGAAGUCCCGGAAAGGAGCAUGUAAGGUAUUCAGCCAAAAAGGUUAAUUCAAAAAAGAAUUGGAUAUUACCUUUGAGGAGAUCUUGUAAACAAGAUCAUCAUAGUCUUGAGAAGUGGGGCUAACUAUUGGAAAUGGAAUAAAUUCGUAAGGGAUGGCGUAUGGCAAAGAUUGGAUAACUUCUUUGAAGACAUCUGGAAUGAAACCAGUUGCAGUUACUGCUUGUGUUUUGGCAUCUAUUUCCACUUUAAUGAAUUGCUCCAGCCCUCCUUUGACAGGAACUCCAACCCUCAACUUCUUCCCACUUGUGGGUAUUUCCCAGCCUCUCGGAACAAUAAUAGAUUCACCAGGCCAAAUGAUGGCCGCUAGUUGCUCAUUCAUACUCUUAGCUGUUUUACUAUUCAUCUUCAGUUUAUGCGAAAUGCCAUCCUUCUCGGUCCAGAAUCCAAUGCUUCUCUCUCCUUUCCCAAUUAUAUUCACAAUCUCAUAUGUGUAUAGCUGCAAUUCUCCAUCAAUGAUACGGAAUUCACCACUUAGUCCUGUUUUUGGCUUUGUAUUUCGCAUAGAGUCAAGGAGCAGAGAUCCAAAUUCUGAGGUUCCAAGUGCAUCUAAGUCCGUUAAAUUCUCUCUAGUGUCUGCUUUCUUGAAUUUUGGGAUGAUGGUAGUGCCCACUUUUGCUAUUGCUUUUGUUAAUGCGGUGAUGCUAUCAUAUGCCCAUAGCCCGUAAACAUUGAGUUCAACUGGGUCCAUGUCUGGAUACUCUUGACGGAAUCUCUUUCUCCAUCUCCUCGUGUAAUUGUUAAGCUCAUUUGAUCUUGGAAUAUAAGGUUUUAUACCAAGAACACCUUGCAUUGAUGACUCAAUUACUGAAGUAUCUACCAGGUCCAGAAGACUCGUUAGCACAUCUGUGAUGAUCCAUGCAUAUCCACUGUUCAUCAUCCCGGUUUCUUUGGCCUUGAGGAAAAGGCGGGAGGCAAGAUGUUCUUGCAAGUGCACAAUGAACACCCUGGUCUGCAUUGUCUUCAACUUGUAUAGCUCCCUGAGGAUUUGAUCAUCAUUGGCUGAAGGAGAAAUACCACUUCUAUAGGAGACUAAAGUAUUGAUUUCCAGCAAGGCAUCAGUCAAAUAUGGAAGUAUCCCGGUUCCAUAGGGGCUUUCCUCAUAGAUUACUACAACCUCCCUCCAAUUAUAGUUUUUAACAAUUGCUGCAAUGGCUUUAGUCUGACUGGAAGAAGGAAGUGCGCCUCUGAUGAAGAAGGGAUUUUCCUUGACUGAAAGUGAAGGACUAGUUGCUGGAGAUAUUAUAGGAACUUUAACUCUGUUCCCCAAGUCGAUCACAAAAUCAGUUUGUGUAGACAUUUGUGGCCCAAAGAUAGCUUGCACUUGGACAUCCUUUAGCAAGUAUAUGGCUGCACAUACACAAUCAGACUAUAAGAAAUUGUCUGAACAUCUCUUUUUCAAAAUAGGAAAAGUAAUAUCUUAGAGAAAAAGUGAAUCUUUUGAAGCAAAGAGAGAAAAAUAAUCCUAGUUUAACAUAAGUAAAGCUUAGAGCUGAAUUUUACCAGCUGAUGCUGCUUCAACAUCAUCUUUCUUUGAAUCCCUGAUAUGAGGAACUAUCCUUAUGGCACCGCGACUAGUGUUGGCAUGAUAAUCUGCAAGAGCUAGUAAGAUAGAUAUGUGCAUUACUUUUCCCACAUCUGUUUCCAGAUCAAGAAUUAUGCCCACAUCCACCUUUACAGCACUAGUGUUAUUAUCUUCACCUCUUAUUCCAAUUACAUAGUGGCAAAAGCUAAUGAUGGAAACAAGUUGAAUGAAAAUAAUUAGGAAUUUGCAUCUUGGAUUAUGCAUUUGAAAAACUCUUGUAGAAAGUAAUAUGAGUGUUGGGCAAGAAGCAGUUGUGCUUGUGCAAGAUUUAUAACCACCAUUCAGAGAUGUGUUUAAAGGUAUCUUAACUAUAACUUUUCUACAAUUAAAUGAGACCAAACCUCAUAACUGCAGAAAGAAAAGUCAAAGUUUUCAAAGAAUUACAAAUGGUUUAAAAUAUACUAGUUUGAUUAUUAAAGAAAGAGGACUUUUCACACUUGUUAGACCACAAGCUAGUAAAGCCUCCUCAGUUUUGACCAAAUCAAUAAAUGACUAAAUGAACAUAGUGACAAAAUUGAUUUGUACUCAUUCUCCCAAUACCCAAAGAAGUUUUUGUAUUCAUUGGAUGACUAUCUAGAGGCUACUAAAAGGACUUCCCAUAUUUUGGCUAAGUCAUGUUGAAAGUUGAGUGCUAGCUCAGUUACAAAUAAGUAGAAGAGGUCAGUUUCUAUGACUUGGACAUUGGAAAAGGGCAGCUAUGACUAGUAAUCUUUAGUUUACUUAGACGGUUCAGUUUAGAAUUGGUCAGUAGUAUAAAACUUUAUGGUGGUAGAGGCACAACUUGUAGGGUUGUUCCGGGUUAUCGUUAAAAAAUCAAAUCAAACUUGUAGGGUUGUUUGGUUAGGUUUUAAAUUUUGAAAAUCAACACUAUUUGGUUUGGUUUGGUUUUAAAACUGUAAAAAUAACCAAAUUGAACGUGUAAUUAUAAUAAUUGCUUGAUUGAAUCCACAGUAACUUUCAUGUGUAUUGUUCAUGUACUAGGUGUCUGUGUUUAUAUGUCUUCAAAAAAAUUAUUACUUCCAAAACAAAAAAACAAAAAAAAUUGAACCAAACCGACAAUUAUUUUUUUAUUUGGUUUUAGAAUUUAGAAACCGACUAAAUUGAUCUGGCUUUGAUUUUAGCCAAUAAUCAAUCCAAAUCGAACCAUGAACACCUCUAGGCACAAAUAUAACUUGGUAUGUGAAGGAUUACUAUAAUACCUUUCCUUCAACUUUUUUUUAAAAAAAAAAAACCUCUAUUGGUAAAUUUUUCAAAUCAGUUUUUUUUACUCAUGAGCUCUAUUCCUUUCCCUUUUAUAUUUUUUAUAAUAUAAAAUAUAAGAUAAAAUAAAGAAUUUUUUUAAAAAGAAAUGAGAAAAAAAAUGAUGAAGAUGAGGGGUGAGGAGCUAAAGGAGAGAAGAAAGAUAGAACAUAAGAUGAGAAAGGUAGGGUCCCCAUAUUUUCUUUAUCAAAAAGUAAUUUCUUACCUACCAAAGUCAUAUUUAUGCCUCUACCACCACAAAUUUUUUCGUAUUAACUUGCUUGCAAGUUGCAAAACCAAACAAAGCAAGCAUACCCAAAUGGAGAUGGAAUCUUGGAAUGAGGAUGGUUGGGUAUACAUGUAGGUUUCAAUGUCAUUAUCUCAAUAUAUAUAUACUAGAGGGGCAUGGCCCGUGCUAAGCACGGGCCCAACAUAAACAUAGUUAGUCUAUUAUUCUCUAUAUAGGCAAAAUAUUGUUGGAAACUAUUCACUUAUAUAAGUAACUAAUUCAAGUUAUGUGUUUGUUAACAAAGUUUAUUCAUUCAAGCAUCUGCAAACUAUACACCAUACCAAACCACCAAUAAAGAAAAAGACAUGAAAUGUUAACACAAAUUAAACAACUUCAAAAGAAAGAAAGAAAAGAAGAAGAAUCAAGGAGGUGAAAGAACAUUAAAAUUUUGCAGUCUUAUCAGUCAAAUUCUAGUGGUGUCACAACUUUCACAGGGACCAUCAACUCUUCAACUUUUUGUACAUAUUUGCUUUUCAGUGCCAAUAAAUUAUUAUCUGUCGUUCCUGCAAGUUUUUGGAAAAAGUGUAUCAACAAUUGAUGCUAAAGAUCAUAUACUUUGUUUUGUAUUUUAUUUUACCAAGUAAAAAAGUCAGUAAUUGAUAUACCUAAUUUACUGCACUUAAGACAUUCUAGCUUCUAAAUCUAAUAAAACAAUACUAAUGAACACUUUUAAAUAAAUGAAAGAUGAUGGUACCUAAGGGAUGGAGUAAAUGAAUCAUGUGAAGUAAGCAAAUUGAAGUCAAAGUGAAUGUGUCAAUUACGUGGCCAUUAUAUCAAAUAUUUGUCAAUUCUAACCAAAAAGAAAUUGUUAGACAGUAAAUUUGUAAAACUUUAUAGAAAAUGACCUUUUAUUUUGUCUAUUUUGCCCUUUCAUGUGCUCCUUCAUGUCGCUUCCCCUUUCCAUUUUGUCGUCCCUCUCAUCUCAAUUCCCGUUUUGUUGUCCUCUCUUCCCAAUACUAUUUUUAUCCAGCUUGAUCUGGAAAAGAGGUAACUGACAUAUUAGUGUACUUAAUUUGGAACAAAAUCACUUGGAGAACAAUAAAGUAGGUAAUAAACACGAACAAUACUUAGACUCUGAAGUCUUGGUGAUAGUUAAGUAGUAGAAUGAGGAAGAGAUUAUACAAAUCAAUAGAGUUCAAACAACAACAUAUCUUAUCAAAUCUUAUCACUACCUCGUGGAGGUAGAGGUACUCUUUCCGAAAGAUCAAAUCACUGAUCUCGAUAGUUAUUGUUGAGUAGUUAAUACAUAAAUCUCUCCAGAGUAACAAAAAAAGGGCAGAUAGGGAUUAAAAGAAAUUAAGAAAAUGAAAUACGAUGCUACAUUUCUCAAGAGUUAAAAAGAGGGACAACCAAUUUGAGUAGUAGAUUCAGGUUGAUGGUGAUCUACUAUACAACUAAAUGGUGCAACAACUCAAAAUCUCAAGGAAAACAAAUCAAGACAUUCUUGCAAAUUAAAGGCACUAAUAAAACUGCGGCAGAAAUUCUCGUGACUGUGUGGUUCUAUAUGGAAAAUGACUUCCACAUGCUUGGUCUUAGCAAUACGCCAUGUGCACAAGGAAAAAUAUAUUAUAACCACGCGUUUCUUGUUACCGAUAAACAUGACUUAUGAGAAAGUCAGUUUUUAAGAGAAUUCGAAGAACAACAGGAUAAGAAACUACCCUUUCAUUUACUUUCUCAAACACUUAAUAAGGCUUCCGUUUUUUCAACAUUCUUGCAGAGUUGAUUGUGGAGAUCAACAAUUCAUCCAUUUGACCAUUAUCACUUGUAGACACACUAAACUGACAAAGAGUCUUAUAUCAGGGGUGUAUAAAUGAAAACCCCUUCUUUUCAUAUCUAUUUGAAUUGAUUAAACUUGUCGCACAACAAAUAGGAUCAACGUUUUCAGUAAUCAAAGGAAAGAAAAAAAUCUACAUCAAAGGCAUGUUAUAUGAAGUAUGUGAAAUAAGGAUUGUAGAAACGAAGGAGAAAUAAAGAUUUGAUUAGCUUACCAUUCAAAGUAAUUGUAGACAAACAAAGAAGAAGUGAAUAUUUGAUCACCGCUUACCGUUCAACUCAACUGUAGACAAACGAAGAAGAAGUGAUUGACCCUUAAUUUGGAAUCAAUUGAUUUUUUACUAUAUCUCGAUAAAAAAUUUAAUUUAUGUAACUCAUUUCUAUAUAAACAACCAAGAUGCUUAGAACAUACAUAACAUAUUCAAUGUGGCUUACUUCUAUAAAAAUCAUAAAUAAAAUAUAAAGGAAAGCUUCAAACUCUACCUAAUUAGUUCAUAUGAUCAGCAAAAUCCAAAAAACUUGAAAAAAGAAACAAAUUUGUACUCUCUUGCAGAAAUAAGUUUUGUCUUUUGGAAACAACCUCUCUAUCUCCACGAAGUAGGGGUAACAGUCUACGUACACUCUACCUCCUCAAACCUCACUUAUGGGAACUACACUGGGUAUGUUGAUGUUGUUGUUGUUGAAAUAAGCACAAAAGACUGGACUCUCACUAAAACUUCCGUAAAGAUCAAAUUCUUAAGUUUCAUUCUGCAACUAAAAAUCCCGAAAAUGAAGAAUCAGAUUACUCACAUUGACAAAAGUGGGGUAAAAAAUAACUUGAGCUUUGCUAUUCAAAACAUCAACAACUUCUUCAAUCCCAGAAAGUCUUUUAAUUGCCUUUAAAUGCCUAGCACUAUUUUUUUAAGAAGAAAUUACUGAACAACCUUAGUGAAAAUUCCAAAUUCGCCAUUGCAUCCAACCCCCGUCCCAUCCCUGGACUAUCCUACACCAGCUACCCUUAAAUCCUCACCCAUCCAUCCCAUUGAGUUUUGCUGGAUUACAACGGCCCCCAUCCCAUCCCUUGACUAUCCUAUACAAAAUGGAAAAUCUCUUCUCCAAGGAGUUAGGAGACAAUAAUCGACAUAACUAUGUCAUCUUAUAUAGGGACAAAAUGAAUACAAUCUCACCCUGUGGUCUUCGAAUCUAUAGUAGACAAACGGUAAGUAAAGAGAUAUUGUAUAACUGCACCAACUAUUCAUUAUUUCUGAAGUAAUACAGUGAGUGCAUCACAUGUUAAAGAAAUAAAAUUAAGUUUAUUACUUUUAUUCAUGAACAUGUACAACUCUUGAGAUGAACUUUAAUUUGUCAGUAAACUAUAAAAUAGAGGUAAUUUGUAAAGGCUUAAGCCUAUUGGAUUAGAUUAUGUUCUCCGUGGGGGCAGUUUUUCUUCAACUCCAAAACUGUAUACGUCACUUCUGGUGGUUAUAUGAUUUACAUAUGAGAGGCGACAAUUAGAAGCUGAGAAAAGAAAUGAUCUCAGGUUACAUGACAGAACAAACCAAGUAAUGUUACACUCCCAAUUUCUUUCAGGACACAUAGUAUUGAUAUUUGCGAGCAUGAAAGACUGAAGGAUUAAACAGAGGAGAUAACUCUUAAGAGAGACCUCAUCAAGAACUUAAGAAAAUUUGUGUGAUAAUUUAACAAAUUUAGCGAGGCUAAUUGAUGAAGGAAGUCUAUUCACACUAUAUUCAUUUUAGUGCACUUAUUGACUAAAUGUUUCCCAAGUUCGAAUGUGAGGCCUCUAUUUGAGGAUGUAAUAAAACAACAUUUACCAUUAGAACUAAUUGAGCAGCUUGUGUUAACCCUCUGUAUUUACCUGACGAAUAUGCUUUAAGGUGGAGGAAUUUUUUGCAGUAGUCUUCUAUUAAAACAUCAUUUAAGCUACCUAAAUGAAUGGACAACAUGUAGUUUUUCGACGCAGAAACAAAAAAUCUACCUAACAAAGAGACAGAUAUAUCAAAGAAGCCACAGGUCGAUAAUCAGAGUGUCCUAAAGAGUUACAUUUACAAAAGUUGAGGAGACUGGACACGCUGUCAAAUUAACUCAACACUGAUGCUGCAUUGAAAGUGAGAGUCCAUGUAAUGUGGAUACAAUUCAUUAAGUACACACAAAACAGUCAGCAACUAAUUUCAGUGAUGUGCAACAAAAUUCAUAUAACAUAGCCACCAAGUUGACCAUAAAAUCCAUCAAAACACAUUAAUGAGGAAUUCGUCUUACUUCAGUUUUGAAUUCCCCCGGCUUUUAAGUAUACAAGCCACAUUUUUACUGAAUUUUCUCUUCAAGUGCAGUAAAGUAGCUCAAAGAACAGAAAGCAAAGUUACAACUGACAACUACAUCGAGAAAGAGGCUACUAUGGACUGUCAAUUUUUACAUGUGAAUCCAAAAAUUAAGCUCGCAUAACAACGGGUAAUAUACCAAAUUCAUAUUAAAUUUUAGAUCAAACAACAUCAUUUAUCAUGCCAAAACAGUCUAGCUGUGCAACUUUUAAGCAAUUUGGAUACACUUAUAUCUAAAAAUUGGCUAAACUAUUGAUAAACGUACUAUCUAAUGCUGGAAAUAUGACAUAGUACAGUGAAUAUUGAUCAAUUUACUACCAUCGCUGCAUUUUGAUACUCCUUGAACAGAGAAACGGAUGGAAAUGGACCAGCCAAGCUACGCCUAAUUACACCAUCUCUAUCUUUUAACUACUUUUGUACUUGGCUUCCGAUUGACGCUCAGCUCAGGUAAAGCACAAGAACAAUUAGGAGUAAAUUGAAAUUGUAUAUUACCAGUGGUCAUAUACUCGGGAGUAGCACAACUGAAUUGUAUGGACAAAUCAUAAGAGGGCAACAGAAAUAUUGUUAAAACUUGUAGAAGACUAAAUUUUAAAGUAGUUUUAGAUACAGCAGCCAGCAAAAUGUUAGAUGAUUUGAAAUCCUGAUACAUAAUUUUAGCUUCUGGGCUGUGGAGAUAUGUCAGUCCUUUAGCUGCCUUGAGAGUAACCUUCAUUCGGAGAUUCUAUGAUAGCGGUUGGAAAUAAGCACUCCUCUGUUCAAGAUGUACCAAAGGUUUAUUCAAUGACAUUACACGGAUAAUAUUAGUGGAUGUCCUCAAAUUAGAUGUGGAUUCAAGAUUUCAAGUUUAUGGAUUUCUAUAAUGAACUAAGUUCAUAGUAAAAUAAAUUUCUUAUACAUGGUUUAGAAAAAACAAUUGGGUCCCCAUGAAUCUACAUAUCAUAUUGUGGAUCUGUUCUUGCGUUAAAUAUGCAGUUAUGGUUUCAUACAAACUAUACUUACUUCUGAAUAGAUGAUUUUCCAAACUUCCCCUCGGCAUGAAUUCGCACACCAGAAUCUUGUGUUCAUCUUCUAACCUGGCUCAGGUAAGCAAUUUUCGCCUGUAGUUUAAGUGUACAGAGAAAACAGUUAAUCAACUUAUCAAGAUCAAGAAUUAUAGGAAAGCUUCAAUGUCUUUGAUAAAACAAUCAUCGGAUAUUUUAAAGGGAAGAGUUUAUAUACCAAUCAUUCCUUGUGACCUUGAAAGCUUUCUUCAAGAAUUUCACUUUGACUUUGAGGAGUCAACUGAGCCGAUAAAUAUGAAUGUGAUCAUGGAAAUGAUGCCUAAUUAAUAUGUAUCUUUGUAUGUCUUCUGUCUGUUCCUAGUAAAAGUUGCACCAGUUUACAUCAAUUAAGUAAUAAACUGAAUAAGUUAUAACAUGACUAUCUUAUAGCUUAUUUCAAACUGAACACGUACAUCUUCAUUACGUUUUUUAAAAUUUAGUAGAAAUAGAAAUGUAUAAUGGUACCUGAUAAGCAAAUCAAAUUCGUGACUAUCUUCUUGGCUCAUUCGUUAUGGAUGAACUUGAAGUUUCAUAAUGAACUUACUUUCAGCAGGGUUAUAAGCAUCCAGAUCAUAAAAUUCUUCAGGGGCAAAUGGUAUAGGAACAAAUCUCUGAGCCAAUUUUGUAAUUCCCUCAAGGCGGUAACUAUUGAUUGAAAUCUGCAUUUUUCCAUAGCUUUCAGAUAAAUGAAUAAGAUGUGUUAAAAAUGGAGAUUGUUUGCUAUUUAUAUACCGAAACUUGCACUCUAUGAAAAAUAAAUAACUUAUCUUACAAAGAAUUCUUCAUGUUCAAAGAAAGUCUCCCGUGUCAUAUAAGCAAAUUAUAGUUUAUGUUUAUCUACAUAUACAUAUGUUAGUAUUCAACAUUAUAAUUCAACUGCAUAUCCAACUGGAAAAUUAAAUCAACUAAAGAGGGAGAAAUACUGGACUUUCCACAUAUGAGAAAGGGUUGUGAAAAUAGGGUAACUCUAAUAGCUAAUCCUUCCAGUUGAAAGUGUUUUUGAGAAAAAAAAUCAAAUUAAGUUCGAUGUACCUGAUAACGCUCAAUGUUCCCUGCAUGGCAUCUUCUCAAUUUCUUUCCUUUCCUUUCUUCUCCAAGUACUUGUAAAGUCCUAUUUAUGAAAAAUUAACAAAUUGAAAAAACACCCACAUCAAGAACAAAAGCGGAAGAAACACUACAUUUCAAUAAUCAAAAGCACAAAAAAUUGAAAUACAAAGCGGGACAACGGAGAAGAAGAGGAGUAAACGACCAUAACAACAACAUCCAAUCAAGUUUAGAUUCAGUACAUGCAACAUUACCACAACCUAAACACCAAAAUUGAUGAAUAAAAAAAAGUCGGAACUCAUCAAAUGAAAAAAUCGACAAAACAGAUCUAAAGUCAAAAGGCAAAACAAAAAUGAGAAGAAAGAAGGAAGGGAAGAAGCAGUGCAUACCUAGGAAGGUAUGCAAUUUAACUGAGAAUUUCAUAUGAGGGCUUGCAAAACCCUUCCAUUUUGCAGAGCAUUUUUUCUUGGGACAGAGAAUGGAUGCAGAGGAACAGGGAUAUAUCACAUAGCUAGGACACGUGUUUCACAGAUGAAUAUACAGAUACACAUUAGUUAGAAAGCAAUGAGUCAAAUUACCAAAUUAACCCUAUUGGUACAAUUAACUUGAAUUUUGGUACAACUUGUAUAUGUUGUGUUAGUCCGAACUCUUGUUGGCUGUAGAAGGACACGUGUAGCCCACGUGUUUAUUCAAUAGUGAAUAGGGCUUAAUGGUACAGUACAAUUUUUUAUACUAUUGGUACAACUUUGUAGAGCUGUGUUGGUACUCUUCUUGUUGGCUUAUAUAUAAGGGUAAAGAGCUGUGUUGGUACUCUUCUUGUUGGCUUAUAUAUAAGGGUAAAGAGCUGUGUUGGUACUCUUCUUGUUGGCUUAUAUAUAAGGGUAAAGAGCUGUGUUGGUACUCUUCUUGUUGGCUUAUAUAUAAGGGUAAAGAGCUGUGUUGGUACUCUUCUUGUUGGCUUAUAUAUAAGGGUAAUAUAUAUACUCCCUCCGUCCCAAUUUAUGUGGCACCCUUUAUUUAUAGUCUGUUCCAAAAAACAAUGUCAUCUUACUAUAAUUAGAAACAAGGGAAAAGACUCAAAUAUGUUAUUGAAAUUUGAGAAAAGACUCAUUUAUGUCGUCCGUUAAAAGUUUGGUUCAUCUAUGUCAUUUUCGUUUGAGAAAAAACUCAUCCAUAUCAUUAGUUGUAAACUAAAAAUAAUUUUGGUUUUGUAAGAUCAUUUUAUACACGUGGUCAAUUAUGAUUUGGCCAUGUCAUCAAUUAAAUCAUUUCUAUAGAAGAGAAAAGGUUCAAAUAUGUCAUCGAACUUUGAGAAAAACUCAUUUAUAACAUCCGUUAAAAGUUUGUCUCAUCUAUGCUAUUUCAGUUAAUAAAUAAUGGCAUGAAUGAGGUUUUUCUCAAAUGAAAAUGGCAUAGAUGAGCCAAUUUUUUAACGAAUGACAUAUAUGACCUUUCUCAAAGUUCGAUGGCAUAUUUGAGUUUUUUCACUAGAAACAAUUUCAUUUAAAAUUCACUGUUAUCCUUAAUGAAAUUAUUUACAAACACACAAAUAUCUAAGGAUUGUUUUAAAUCACAAGUUUAAAAGUCUUUUUUUAAAAAAAUAAAUAUAUCGUGUCAAGUUAAACAAUGCCACAUAAAAUGAGACGGAGAGAGUAAUUGUUAAUGCAAGAGGAAGCUGCUCGGGAAGUUACGUGUAUGAUGUUGAAGUUAUUUGACAUGCAAUUGAGGUGAUCCUAUAAUCUUCCAGUAGUUAUGACUAGUAAAAUCACUCAAUUUAUAAAAUAAUACUUAAAAUAUAUGAGUCAUUAAAACUAAAACACUAUAUUAUCUUACAUAUAAGAUUACAUAUAACAAACAUUAAUAAUGUAAGUAAAAAAAAAUUUGAAUAUGUUAACAAAUUUUUGAAUUUUUUCCUCAGACAUAUAUCACAAUUGUAAAAUCUAUGCAACUUAAAUGUGUUCUUGUUCUUACGAAACGCCUUUGUGUAUAUAUAUUCUUAUUUUAUUCUCUCUUUUUUUCCUUUUAAUGAUGAUUAAAUAACCAUUAAUUUAUUAUUUCCUGAAUAAUUCAUUCAUUAGAUGUUCUUGAGUUUAUGUGAUAAUGACAAAUAAUAGUAUAGAUUCUUUUAAGGAAUUUUUUACUGUACCUUCAACAAUUUCAUGAUCAGUAGAGAAAACUUGCAUGAAUACUCAAUUAACAUGUGUUGUUUAAUCUGUACUAACAAAUACUUAAAACAAUAACUUUGUAGAAACAUAAACACAAGUUUAAAACAUGUACUCAAAAACAAUAAUUAAUAACAUAAGCAUAAAUUAAUGAUUGUAAAAAAAUAUACCAGGAUCUGUAAUAAUAGGAUGAAACAGAAAGGAAAAAACUGUACACGAAUAUUUAAUUGUGCAGAUUAAGAAGAAGAAGUUCAAAAUUUUCGUUUUUUUAAAAUGAGAGGAAAUCACUCUAUUUAUAGCUAGACAACAAAGGGUAGUGUGAACAAAUGUUUAUUGUGCCUUAUCGAAAAGGUCACAACUCUUUGGAAAAGUUACAACUGUUUGGAAAGGUCAUAACCUUUCAUAAAAGACACAACUUUUCAUAAAAGUCGCAACUCUACAUAGAAGUUACAACUUUUCAUAAAAGUCGCAACUGUUCAUAUAAGUCGCAACUUUUCAUAAAAGUCACAACUUUUCAUUAAAGUAGCAAAUUUUUAUGAAAGGGGAAGGAUAGUUUUGUAAAUAUAUUAAUUAAAAAAGGAAUCAUGGUUUGUGAUGGCGCCACGUAGGCAGGCCUAGGAUUCUCUUUUAUAUAUAUAUAUGAUAUAUGAUAUGAUUAUUUACUGUGGUCGUUUUCUGAUAUGAUCACAAUAAGAUAUAACCGUCUAUUAUCUUUUAAACUUGUUUUUCUUUUUAGUUUGCAAUAUAUUUUGGAUUGGUAACAUUAGUAGUAUUAAAUUGUUAACAGCACUAGUUUGCAAUAUUUUUGGUUUCUACAAACAUUAUUUGCACAUAUUGAAAGAAAUAUAUAUGAUAUGGUUUCAUUGAAUUAUAUCCUCUACAUAAGCAGUGAAGACAAACAAAGUACUAAUGUUAUUUAAAUUGUCUCUAAAAUUUUGAUGAUUUAACAAACUUUGAGAUCUAACGAACGACCAGAUUCCAAGAGAGAUUGAGAGUUCCGUUUAUGAAAAAAACAGCGGUCUAAAAGCUGCAACACCUGCUGUGGUUGGUGCACGUAUUUUGCAGCAGACAUUCAGCCAAUAGCAGGGCAUUGCUUCAAGAGUUUGGGUCCAUCCUAUAAUACACCUCUUUGACAUUGACACAAACUCAAGUUUUUGCAAUAUAAAAAUUCACAACAGCAAAAGUCAUUCUCUCAGGGAAAUAUUUCUCGAUAAAUGAUAGAGUUAUCAUCGUUCUUAUGUGUUUUUAGGGCUUAUAUUUCUGUGCUUAUACUUGUAAGAUCUAUUCCUACGUUAUAAAGGAAUUAGAUCAUUUGAAGUUUUUUCUGAGUAUUCCGAGUUAUAUCUAGAGUUAGUUAUGUUGUAUUCUUGAAUUCUAGAUCAACUAUAGCUAGUUGAUUUAGUGGGUCAUAGAGUUAUUGCUUAGUUUUUGAGUAACAGAGUUGUUACUAUGAGGGGAAGGGAUUAAGAGUUUAAUUCCUAGGUUACAAGAGUUUGUAAUCUGAAGCUUUGCACUUUUGAUGAUAAUGGAGUUGGGUUAAAUCCUGUGAGACAGACCGUGGUUUUUUCCUCCCUUGAACAAGGGGCUUUCCACGUAAAACUCUUGUAUUUGUUUUAAUUUGUGUUAUUUAUUUUCCACACAAUUUUUCUUUCAAGGGACUUGGUCCAUUGACCGUUAGUGGACGCAUACAUUCUAUGAGUACUAAUAAGAUUGAAAAAGAAACCACUAAGAAAAAGUUAGGGUUAAAUCCAUCAAAUGGAAUCCUGGAGCCACCUCUUGAUGCUAAUAUUCUGGCCAAGAUCAGUAACAAAGAUAUAAUGUAAUCUGGUUUAACUAACCCUAAAGCUAGCUCAUCUCUGUGCAAUCUCAUAUAGGGCCCUAUUCAGGUGUGUCACAAUUAUGGUAGUAGCUAUAUGUGUCAUCUUUCUUCAAUUGUGUCUGUAAUGGUUUCAUGAACUGGAGUUCCAGGUUCUGUUGUAGAGAACCCUUCAGCAGCAGGGGAUGCUCCUAGUCCGUCGGAAAUUCUGAUUUCUGGGAUUUGCAAAGGAAGGUCAGGCAAUAUCUCAGGAGAAGCUUCACUUGCUGCGAGCAAUUUAGGUGCAUUGCUUUCAGAUGGCUUUUCUGACAUAGAAUUAGAGUUGUCUUUCUCUUCAUCAAAGACUUUUGCAAUUGCUGUAAGCUUCUGCCAUAUUGAAUCAUCAGUGGCUAAGAUUUCUCUAUUCUGAUUAAGGAAGUUGAGGAAGAAUAGGAGAAGAGCGAAGCCUGCUGAUACACCAGCUAUGAGGAAAAGUCCCUUAAACCUAUCUAACGUGAGGCUAUCAGAUGUUAUAGCCGUUUCAUCUUUCUGUGGACAAUCUGUUUCAUUCCCAAACCAUUUCUGUAUUAUGUUAUUCAUGAACUCUCCUUCCAUCACCUUCAAGACUGCUCUUGAGACGUCAGGUACCAAAGGAGAUCCUUUUGGAAAUGCCUGCAAUAAAAGAUUAGAUGAUUGAGUAAACAACAAAUCAUUCUAAAUAUAUGUUAACAGUGUCUGAAACAUCAGUGGAGUGUACAAUCUUACAAACCCAAAACCGGCAGCCUUGUAUGUCUGGCCGACCAUAACAUACUUCCUGCAGUACUUGUUGAGGAAGAGUCUGAGAUAAGGUAGUUCAUCAACAAUUGCACCUACACCUCCAUUUUUGCUUCCUCUUGAGAGGGCUUCAUCAUAUUCUUUCAAUGUGAUAUAACUUCUGAACUUGGAGCUGUCAAAUUUCAUGCGCUUUAUGAAGACAUCUUUGACAAAGGAACCUUCUUGGUACCCAACAUAUUCUCCAUUCUUGAUGAGAUCAUUGAGGUCUGUUAUAGUAGGUUGGAGCUGUUGCAGUGUCAACAUAGAUGUUAAGCUGGCUGUAUAACUUGAUGUCAGCACCAGAACCACAAAAACCCACACAAUCAGCAAAAAUCUUGUUAAGUUACUUGUUACCCUCUCUCCUGCAACAACCAGCCAUAACAUAUUCUCCAUUCUUGAUGAGAUCAUUGAGGUCUGUUAUAGUAGGUUGAAGCUGUUGCACUGUUAACAUAGAUGUUAAGCUGGCUGUAUAACUUGAUGUCAGCACCAGAACCACAAAAACCCACACAAUCAGCAAAAAUCUUGUUAAGUUACUUGUUACCCUCUCGGCUCGCUAAAAUGGUCACAUCACCUACAACUGCAUCAUAGUCCUGGCUCAAGCAAACAUUGAUUAUUCCAGUAUGUAUAGUUGAUUGUAAUAGCAGAAAAUAGAUAUCGAAGUCCCAAAAAGGACCAUGUUAGUAAGAUAUAGAGCCAAAGAGGUUUAUUGGAACAGAGAUUAUAUAUUACCUGAGAAGUGAUCUUGUGAACAAGAUCAUCAUAGUAUGGAAGAGUGAGGGGAUCUUGUAUUGGAGAUGGAAUAAAUUCGUAAGGGAGAGCAUAUGGCAAAGAUAGGAUGACUUCUUUGAAGACAUCUGCACAGAAACCAGUUGCUGUUACUGCUUGUGUUUUUGAAUCUCUUUCCACUUUAAUGAGUUGCUCCAGCCCUCCUUUGAGAGGAACUCCAACCCUUAACUUCUUCCCACUUGUGGGCAUUUCCCAGCCUCUUGGAACAAUAGUUGAUUCACCAGGCCAAAAAAUGGUUCCUAGUUGCUCAUUAUUACACUUAACUGCUGUUUUACCACUGUUUUACUAUUCAUCUUCAGUUUAUGCGAAAUGCCAUCCUUCUCUGUCCAGAAUCCAACGCUUCUCUCUCCUUUCCCAAUUAUAUUCACAAUCUGAUAUGGGAUUGGCUGCAGUUCUCCAUUGAUGAUACGGAAAUCACCACUUAAUCCUUGUUUUAGCACUGUGUUUCGCAUAGAGUCAAUGAGCAGAGAUCCCACUGCUGACGUUCCAAGUGCAUCUAAGUCUGUUAAGUUCUCUCUGGUGUCUGGUUUCUUUAAUUUUGGGAUAGCAGUAGUGCCCACUUUAUCUAUUGCUUCUGCUAAUGAGGUGAUGCUAUCGUAUGCCCAUAGCCCGAAAACAUUGAGUUCUAUUUGGUCCAUGUCUGGAUACUCUUGACGGAAUCUCUUUCUCCAUCUUUUCGUGUAAUUGUUAAGCUGAUUUGAUCUUGGAAUAUAAGGUUUUAUACCAAGAACACCUUGCAUUGAUGACUCAAUGACUGAAUGAUCUACUGAGUCCAGAAGACUCGUUAGCACAUCUGUGAUGAUCCAUGCAUAUCCACUGCUCAUCAUCCCGGCUUCUUUGGCCUUGAGAAAAAGGCGGGAGGCAAGAUAUGGUCGCAAGUGCACGACGAACACCCUGGUCUGCUUUGUAUUCAUAUUGUAUAACUCCUUGAGAAUUUGAUCAUCAUUGGCUGACGGAGAAAUAACACUUCUAUAGGAGACUAAAGUGCUGAUUUCCAGUAAGGCAUCAGUCAAAUGUGGAACUAUCCCGAACCCAUAGGGGCUAUCCUCAUAGAUGACCACAACCUCUCUCCAAUCAAAUUUUUUAACAAGUGCUGCAAUGGCCUUAGUCUGGCUGGAAGAAGGCAGUGCUGCUCUGAUGAAGAAGGGAUUUUCCUUGACUGUAAGUAAAGGACUUGUUGCUGGAGAAAUUAUAGGGACUUUUGUUCUGUUCCCUAAGUCAAUCACAAAAUCAGUUUGUGUUGAC